rnacentral:rRNA from 1 species
AUACGUAGGGGGCGAGCGUUGUCCGGAAUGACUGGGCGUAAAGGGCGCGUAGGCGGCUGAAUAAGUUAGGAGUGAAAUUCCAGUUUUCAAGGCUGGAACUGCUUUUAAUACUGUUGAGCUUGAGUGCAGAAGAGGUAAGCGGAAUUCCCAGUGUAGCGGUGAAAUGCGUAGAGAUUGGGAAGAACACCAGUGGCGAAGGCGGCUUACUGGGCUGUAACUGACGCUGAGGCGCGAAAGCGUGGGGAGCGAACAGGAUUAGAUACCCUGGUAGUCCACGCUGUAAACGAUGAAUGCUAGGUGUAGGGGGUAUCGACCCCUCCUGUGCCGGAGUGAACGCAAUAAGCAUUCCGCCUGGGGAGUACGGCCGCAAGGUUGAAACUCAAAGGAAUUGACGGG